rnacentral:rRNA from 1 species
GUAGUCCAUGCUGUAAACGGUGGGCGUUAGGUGUGGGGACCGGUUUGGUUUCUGUGCCGUAGCUAACGCAUUAAGCGCCCCGCCUGGGGAGUACGGCCGCAAGGCUAAAACUCAAAGGAAUUGACGGGGGCCCGCACAAGCGGCGGAGCAUGUGGAUUAAUUCGAUGCAACGCGAAGAACCUUACCUGGGUUUGACAUGCACCAGACGGUUGUAGAGAUACGUACCUCCCUUUGUGGUUGGUGUGCAGGUGGUGCAUGGUUGUCGUCAGCUCGUGUCGUGAGAUGUUGGGUUAAGUCCCGCAACGAGCGCAACCCUUGUCUUAUGUUGCCAGCACUUUGGGUGGGGACUCAUGAGAGACUGCCGGGGUUAACUCGGA